GAGCCCGUCGCCGGCACGGCCAAGGAGGCCCUCGUCGCGCGCCUUCAGGACGGGAUCGACGGCAUGGCGCGGAGGGUGCAGGAGGCGCUCUCCGGCCGCCGCGCCGGCGACGUGAAGCUGGGAACGUCGAUUGCUGUUGGAGGAGCAACUAAUCCAUGCAAACUCGCUCUGUAAUUUCGCUGCACUGUUUUAUCGUAUUGUUGUGUGUGUUUUGUGGUUGCGAUGCGUCUGGUUGUUUGAUCGGGCGAGUCCAACCCUCUAUUUAUACACCAUGCCAUUGUAUUCAUACGACUUAUGUUGCUAUAUAUCAACAUUAUGAAAAUUAGCACCAUGCUUGCUUAAAAGUCCUUAAACAAUGACGGAUCUAGCAAAUAAUACUGGCUAGGAGGACUCAAACAAACUAGAUAUAACCUUAGCCCCUUUCUAUGGUUCUAACGGGCCUGGUAGGUUCCCAUGGUACUGUGCAUAAACUUUUAGGACAAGCUUAAUGUGGGCUCACAUGGUCCUAACAAGAUACUGGGGGCUAGAGCUCCACUGCGACGUCCAUGGUAGAUCCACCAUAUCGGUAAAAUGACUUGCCAUGUGUUAAUCUUCAUAAGUAUAUGGUGAGAUUUUAUGGAACUAAUAAAAA
rnacentral:lncRNA from 1 species